rnacentral:misc_RNA from 1 species
GAAAUGCGAUACGUAAUGCGAAUUGCAGAAUUCAGUGAAUCAUCAAAUCUUUGAACGCAAAUUGCGCUCUCGGGAUAGGCCUGAGAGCACGCCUCUUUGAGUAUCGAUUCCACCACCUCCAGAACAGACUGAUUUCGAUUGGUUUUGACGCUGGGAAUUUGAGUGUUUUACGUCGUCACAGAUGUGUCACUUGAAGCGGAAUGGAAUUGAGGGUCUUGCGAAACUGCUGUUGAAUGUCAGUUUGCUAAAGUGGACUUGAACAUGGAUAAAUUUCCAAUGAUCAAUAAGCUUUGGCUAGGUGAACUCAACGAAUACUAAGUUUUGCAAAGAAAAAGCCCUCUCCUAACUAAUUUUUUCAAUUAUCUAAGAAUUAGAUCUCAAAUGAAGCGAGACAACCCGC